CAGAAGCUUUAAGCUUCUGUGAAGGAAACGCUGGCUGGUUUCACUUCAGUGGUGUGUUGAUCCUUCCAUGGCACGUACUUCAGUGGAAAUAUUUGUUUUGUUGAUGCUCCCUGUGUUUGUUGGUGUUUAAGGAGAAAGCAAAGCAGAGGGAAGAGUUUGCAAAGCAGCAGCAUGCAUAUAUUUUGGCUAUCUGGACAAACUGUUUCUUACUGAAACCAACUUGCAUUUAUAUAUUUUAUGAACUUGGAUAUGUGGUUGGAUUAAUCUA